UACGUAGGGGGCAAGCGUUGUCCGGAAUUACUGGGCGUAAAGGGCGCGUAGGCGGUUCGAUAAGUCAGCUGUGAAAACCAUGGGCUUAACUCAUGGCCUGCAGUUGAGACUGUCGGGCUGGAGUGUGGGAGAGGAGAGUGGAAUUCCUGGUGUAGCGGUGAAAUGCGUAGAUAUCAGGAGGAACACCGGUGGCGAAGGCGGCUCUCUGGACCACAACUGACGCUGAGGCGCGAAAGCUAGGGGAGCAAACAGG
rnacentral:rRNA from 1 species